GUAAAUUUAGGCAUACUUUUUACGAACUCGUCAUUAUUAUUUGUCUUUGUAACACUAUUUUCUCAAAUUUCAUAUGCUUCAUUCACCAAUACAACUAUUCCAUUCAUCAUUGUUUGUUAGUGUUGCAUUGCAAUUAUCUAUUCCUUUCCCUUUUUAUUCCACUCACCUAUUUUUCAUUUUUCUUUCACCAUUGUCCUCAACGUUUUGCAUUCUGCCACCACUUCUCACUAUUUCCACCAUCCUUUUUUGUUCCAUUCAUUUAUUUUUCAUUUUUCUUUCGCCAUUGUUCUCAACAUUUUGCAUUUUGCCUUUUCAUUAUUUCCACCAUCAUUGCUCGCUAUUUUGGCCACCACUUCUCAUCGCUACUGUUAUUGUUAUUUAAUACAAAAAUUAUGCAUUGUCUCUAAGUUUUAUGAAAAAAUAAUUUUUUUAGGAAACAAAAUUAAUUAUAUAUUGAAUCUUGAAUUGUCCGAUUGAACAAUUCAAGAAGAUUAAUCACUUUUUCUUAGUUUGUUAGUACAAAUAUAUUUUAAUAUGCAUAU
rnacentral:lncRNA from 1 species